rnacentral:rRNA from 1 species
AGGACGAACGCUGGCGGCGUGCCUAACACAUGCAAGUCGAACGGUGAACCGGGCUUCGGCCCGGGGAUCAGUGGCGAACGGGUGCGUAACACGUGGGCAACCUGCCCCCGACUCUGGGAUAACCCCGGGAAACCGGAGCUAAUACCGGAUACUCCGACCGAGCCUCAUGGCUUGGCCGGCAAAGGUCCGCCGGUCGGGGAUGGGCCCGCGGCCUAUCAGCUAGUUGGUGAGGUAAUGGCCCACCAAGGCGACGACGGGUAG